CAGGCAAAGGUGUUUGGACUAACAUCCCAAAAAGGGACACCAUUGGCAACAUUAGGGAGCACCAAAACCUCUGGGUCAUGCCAUGUAGUUAGGUGACCCG